UACGUAGGGCGCAAGCGUUGUCCGGAAUUAUUGGGCGUAAAGAGCUCGUAGGCGGCCUGUUGCGUCCGCUGUGAAAAUCCCGGGGCUCAACCCCCGGGCGUGCAGUGGAUACGGGCUGGCGUGGAGGCAGGCAGGGGGAGAACGGAAUUCCUGGUGUAGCGGUGAAAUGCGCAGAUAUCAGGAGGAACACCGGUGGCGAAGGCGGCAUCCUGGACCGAGAUUGACGCUGAUGAGCGAAAGCUAGGGGAGCAAACGGG
rnacentral:rRNA from 1 species